GACAGUUUUCUGAUGAUGAUGGAACCGAGUUGGUGCGCUGGGCAUCUCGAUGUUUACAGUACGAACCAAGAGAGAGACCUAAUCCGAAGUCAUUAGUGGCUGCUUUGGCCCCUCUUCAGAAAGAGACAGAGCUUCAUUGUCUCCGCUCGAUGAAGCUUGUUCAAGAAAGGACCUGACUGCCAUUCAUGAAGUUUUGGAAAAACUUGGCUAUAAAGAUGAUGAGGGAAUUGCAAAUGAGUUAUCUUUUCAGAUGUGGACUGAUCAAAUGCAGGACAUGCUAAAUUGUAAGAAAAAAGGCGAUGCGGCUUUCCGGCAGAAAGAUUUUAGACUUGCAAUUGAGUUCUAUACACAGUUAGAUUUCUCAUGGGGAUGCUCAUUCAUCUAAAUUUGUCUUACCUUUCUUUUUUAG